AGAAACUCUGGAGAAUCUUCCCCUUUAUGGGAAGUGCCGAAGGUGCAAAGGGAACGCUUUCCCCAAAUCUCUCAGGCGAAAGGACAGGGC
rnacentral:ncRNA from 1 species